UAAUGCACAGAACUUUAAAAAAAAUAACCAGAAACAUUUAUUUUAAAUUAAGAGUUUAAGACAGACUAAUUGGAAGAUAUAUAUAAACACUGCUGCUGCUGUUGUUUACGAACUAUAAUUAAAAUGGUUAAACUAUGUUUCUGUAUGUUUAUCCUCCGGUCUGUUGUUGUGUUUAAAACCAGUGAAGCAACGUGAACUGUCAGUGCUGUAUCAUGGGAAAACAAAGCCUUAUGUAACCAGAAAAUGACAAGAACAUUAUUAUAUAAGAUUACUAUAAAUGUUAUUAUAGCAGUCUCAUCAUGUCCUGUAGAGGUCAAAUGUGACAUUUACCAGCCCCACCAUGACCGCAAAAAGGUUUAUUCUGUAAAGUUGUUUUUAUAAAGUAUUUUUUUUUAUAGUUACAUAACUCACUGCAGUGCAUUAACACAAAUGUUCCUUCAAGCGUGCAACAUGCUGCACUGAGCCACCUCGCCUGCUCUCUCUCUAUCGUUACUGGCUGUGUGAUCAAAUCAUCUCUGACAGGACUAGGCUUUUCGUGUGUGUGUGUGUGUGUGAAACCAAAGAGCAGGCACACACGCAUUAAGUAUGACAGUGUGCUGUCAGUCUGCUACUGAAGCUGAGGACGAGCAGCAGCGGCGUAUCACCUUCAAACUGAAGUUUGUGUUGACUCGUCGUUGAAGCUCCGGCAGCAGAAAUGAUUAUCAGACUGGGGAGACUAACACCAGGCUACUUCCGUCUCCUCCAGCGGCAGGUGUCAGGUGAGGUCCGGAUGCAGCCGCAGGGAAACUUUGUUGAUCCCAUCGCCAUGGUGAUGGCAACUGUCGGGACGGGGGUGUGUCUGUACAGUGCCAGACAGAUGUCAGAGCGGGUCCAGCUGAAUCAAAACGCUUGAGAUCAACUACAAACCCCCACCCACCGUCUGUCUGUUUGAUCGAUUGUUUUAUCGACAGAAUGUUUGUUUGUUUGUUUGUGAAAGUCAGAGAAGGUUAAAGAUGGAGGAGGGUGACGAUGUUUUUGUGUUUGCGAUGUCACCAGAAGGGAAAUCUGUGGUGUGUGAUGAGAGGAAAGUGUGAGUUGUUGUCCAGUAGGAAGAUUUAUUUAGAACACAUUUAUACACAAAUACAAAAGAAAACUGUAGUUUUAGAAAUAGCCAACAACCAUUUUAAAACCCACAUUUUCUGUUCGGAACAACACUAGAAACACCAGAUACAGAAAAAUAGAAGAAAAGAGAUUAAAAAAAAACAACUGUUGUUGAAAUCUCACCAACAGGCUGAUUCUCACUUAUUGUAAGUUGCUUUGGAUAAAAGCGUCUGCUAAAUGACAUGUAAUGUAAUGUAAUUCUGAAGAAAUUAAGUUUAAGCAUUAGCUAGUUCCUAUACAUUUCUUUACAACACAAAUUUUCAAUGAAAAUAAUUAAAAGCGGCAGAAAAGUGAAAUGUCAACUUUUUCUUUAUGAGUAACAGUGCGUCAGACAGAAAAUGCUGUUUGCAGAUUCAUAAAUGAGUUUGCAUCAGUGAAGGUAAAAAACAGAGAGAAGUCGGGGGGAAAACAUGCACGCUAGCCAUUGUUAGAAAUACUAGUCAGUUUGCACACGCAAACAGCGUAGCAACAUGUCUACAGUUAAAAAUUUAAAAAAUUCCACUCUAUCAACAAACUAUUCAGUUGUUGGUAAUUUGAUGUAACAGUUAAAUAAAUUGUGUUUAAAAUAA